ensembl:lncRNA
GCAAAAAGUCCCCAGUCCUCUACUGAUUGAGAGAGAGGACUCACUUGUGUACUUACUGGAGGGUCACUGUGACAGGGCUCAGUUUACAAGCGUUUGAAGGUUCAAAAGAUAUUGAAGUCUCUCUACACUCUAUCAGAAUGCUUUGUACCUCAUGGAGAAGAGUGCUGGUGGAGAGUAUCCUUUGUCUUCAUCUAGUAGGUAUCUUGAAGUGUUUUCUUUCAAAAGAAAGAAAAUGGAGAACUGGAGGAAAGGAACAACUCAAAGGAAGUAAAGUGGCUUAUACAUCUUCCAUGAAGCACUUAUUAAAUGCUCCAAGACCAAAGCAACAGUAAUCUCAAAUUUAUAAAGAGGAAUUCCCAGGAGAGUGGGAUACAAGAUGGGCUGCGACUCAGCUCUAGGACUCAUCUGUGAGUUGACUUCAGAGACUGCAACUGUUGGUAUGUGGAUAACAUGAAUUCACUCCAGCACAACCUUUGGCAAAGCUGACUUUCAUAUCCCUCUGGACACAGCCUCUGCUCCAGAGCUGCAAAUUCCUCAUGAGCAGAAUGAAGCUCCUGAAGUUUUCAGCUCACACGUGUAUGGGAGAGCAUCUAGAGUUACAGAGAGAUCCUGCUUCAACUCUCCCACCUCAGCACCCAGUAGCUCCUUCCCAGAGUGGUCCUGGCAAUCUCUGGGCCCCAAGAGACAAACACAGAACUGGGAUGCCUCACAGAUCCUUAUUUUCAGACGCUGAGCUGGACUCUACUAUCUGGACCAGCAGCCACACUUGAACAACGUGGGAAGCUGUCUCAGAAGGACCAUUAAGGAUCUCUUUAAAUCACAAUCCAAACUCUGUAGGCUACUAGUUCUGGGGGCCAGCAUCAGACAGCACAGACAAACCACUUCUUUGAUUGGCUCUUCCUUGACCCACCUGGUCAGCUUGUUUAGUGGCAGUCGUGCUGAAUCAACAAGGAGCUUUUGGUGAAAGAAAGCUUUCAAUGAUGAAAUCUUCCCGAUUCGUCCCUAUGAUGGAGGAAAGGAAAAUGCUCUGGACAACCACAGAAGUGAUUGUCACUUAGCUGUAUCUGUCAAGAGCCACUCUGAAAGCUGACAGCCGUGUGCUAACAGAUGUCGUACAACUGCUAACAACAGGUAAAUCAAACCAGGGCCACUUGUCUGGAGAUACUUGUGGGUCUAUUUCUAUUCUGGAGAGCACAAUUGAUGUGGUAAGAGAGGAAAAAUAGUAGUAGCUUGGUUUUUAAAAGAAAAAGCACUGGUCUGGUCUGAAAUUAAUACAAAAAAUGCAUUCUUAGGUUUUCUCCUUUAUUGAAAAUUUUUCACAAACAACUGUCAUCUUGCUGCUGGAGAUAAAGGGAAAUUACUUUUACACACAUUCUGUCUUUUAUGGAUGAGGUAACAAUUCUUAUAUGAACCAGGCUAUGAGCAACCUGGUCUACUGGGAGGUGUCCCUACCUAAAGCAGGAGUGUUGGAACUAGCUGAUCUUCAAGGUCCCUUCCAAUCAAAACCACUCUAAGAUUCUAUGAUCUUUGUUACACCCAGACAUUGUGGGAGAUAUUAUAAUCUGUUGCAAAGUGACUUCAAUCUACAAUGUUCCUUUGAGGAUGAGCAUGACAACUCUUCUUCUACACGUUAGCACUUCUUGUGCUAUCACAAAUGAGUGUACAUAAUAAUAACACACCAAUUUGAUUUCAGUCAGCAUAGUACCAGCGUUAAUGGUAAUGUAUAUUGAAGACAUCAUCAGAAACACUAAUGUUUAGUUGUGUUCAGAAAUGAAAUAUUGAGGAACCUGUCGAUCUUGUGUUAAAGGGACAUUGUGUCUAAGAAUGUUUGGUGAAUUAAAAUGUCUUUAAGUCUUCUUGAUACAACUUAUCAAAAGCAAACCCAAGCUUGCUUUUCUGUAAACAGUCAUCCUGUUUUAUGAUGAUACCUCCAUGUACUGUCUGAACAAAUGUCAAAAGCGUAAGUUCUAUUGUUGUCUGCCUGCAGCUGUCAGGAAUGCAUUUCUGGAGAGAUCCAAAUAUCAGCUGUGGAGAUUUGUUGGAAAUAGUAGAAAAGCACAAAGCAAAAUAAAGGGAUUCAUUCACAAUUUGGAUAGUGCGAAGAAAUAAUAAACUCUUGCCAUCAACUGCAUUUUUCACUCCAUUCUUGUCUUAUCCAGGAAUGUGUAAAAUCCUCCCUUAGAAAACAUGACCUCUGAAGCAGGUCUUAUUGUGAUUUCUAAAUGUAUAUGACCUAUGGUCAGCAGAAUCAUUCUACCCUUAAUAAUCUAGAUGCUAGGACAGCCAUUUCCAUCUACUAAGAAAAUAACCAUUCAUGGGAGACUUCCAAGAACUGUAAGUUAUUGAAAGUUUUUUGCUGUAUUCAGUGUUAUCAGUUCUGUCCAAAUCAGCUUUUCUGAUGUUUUCCUCAUCCACCCCACACCUCUUCUCCAAACCUUUAUUUCUUUUCCUGCAGCAUUUAAUGGUGGAAAAUUGUUCCAAAGAUCUUGGAAGAACAUACGCUAAACUCUGUGGACUUUGUAUGCAUCUUAUCUCACAGGCAUUAGGAGAUGUUUAUUUGAAGAAAAACUGUAGAUUUGGGUUUUUGAAAAGGUGUUAUACUGUUAACUCUAUGAAGCAAAUUGUGGUUUUGCAGUUUGGAAACAGGUGCUCAAGGAGCUGCAACAAUAUGGGCCCACAGAAAUGAAAAAUAAGACCAGAAAGAUUCCUUUGAAAAAAUUGAUGCUUCUUCCUUUUACAUUUUUGGGCAUGUGUAAGUCACCUAAAUUCUAUUGUGACUUUUAUUGUCAUAAAUAUCCUAUACUAAACUGCUGCCCUGUAAGUCACAGUCCGUGUUGUUGUUUCAAGGUAAUUCUGAGCCUUGUUCUAUCAGAAAUUCACAAACUAAAAAUAAGUAAGUGGACUUUUAAUCCUGAGUUCUAGAGAAGCAUGUCUUUGAGAGUACUCUAGAUAUCACUGCAUUUUAUCAAAGUUAUCAGAACAAAUUCACCCUCAGUAUAAGUCAGCUGAUGUCAGCAGCAUUACACCAGAGAGAACUUGGCUCAGUGGAAUUGAGUAGAAGGUAUUAUUUAGUCCAUAUUGUAUGUAGUACAGCGGAAAACUUUUCACAGUUUUUCAAAUACUUUUAAAUCUUGCUUGGUAAACAUCUUUGCCAUUUCCUUCUGUCAUAAAUGUAAGUUUUAUUUUUUUUUUUCUUGUGAUGAUUAAUUAAACUAAAUUCCAUCUAUUGCUUAAGUUACACACCUAUAACAUGAAUAGUUAGAAAUGCUAACAGCCCAAGAUGAUGUUUACCAUGAAACCACAAGGCUCCACCUGUCAUGCUGCAAUGCUAUAAAAGAGACAUUGUUUGAGCUCAGCGCCAGAAAUGUUCAUCCUCAGAAUAUGAAAUCUAUUUUGCAUUUGCCAGGUUGCCCUAACACCCCUGAGAAAUAUAGGUUUACUCCUGCAAAGCAAGCAUUCUAAUAACAGUAUAGCCAGCAGUGGACUUUCAGCUGUAACAAAUCAUCUUACUUUCUUCCAUUUAAGUGAAGUUAUGCCUAUUUAGUGCACAGCAAUGCACCUGUGUCACCAUCCCUGGCACCAGUCUGUCUCACCUGUUCCCUCAACUGGAAACUGGAUUCUGAAUUGCCUCAAUGGUGUUUUCCAUAAGACCCCAAGGUCUCAUGGUUCCACUGAUGAACAUUCAGUAGCAUCCAGCCUUCCUGUCCAAUCUCAGAAGCAUCUCAUCAGUACCAUUAACAGUCAGAGAGUACGUGCUGCCUACUCUCCAGCAUGGGUGAGGAUCAAACAGGUCAUACACAACCCUGGCUUAUUGUAGAUGCUGCUGCAGCCCAGAAGCAACCUAUUGCACCUGAUGUAAUGCAGCAGGUAUGAUUUUGUGAAAUGCCUUUGCGACUAAAGUGUCCCUAGCAAAUUGUCAGUGAUUCUGUAUCUAAGAUACAGUUUUCAAAGGACAUCAUUAUGUAAGGUCAGUGCCUUAACACGUUUACCACAGGAAUAGGAUGGACCCUUGGACUCAGAAAUGUUUCAACCUGGGAUUUUGUUUUAAUCAAUGAAGGAAGCCUGCUAUAAAUCAUAGAAUGGAUUGGGUUAGAAGGGACCUCAAAAAUCGUCUAGUUCCAACCCCUCUGCUAUGGGCAGGGCUGUCAGCCACUAGGUCAGACUGCCCAGGAACCCUUCAAGCCUGGUCUUGAGCACCUGCAAGGAUGGGGCAUCCUUUUCUGGGCAGGCUGUUCCAGUGCCUCUCUGACAAAGACCCAGGUAAAACAUUGGGAUGUAGUUGCAGUAUUUUGAAUAAGCAAUUCAACUAGAUUAAGAAGUAACUACAAAUAGAGCUGCUGCUUUUGCUUUCCAGAGAUAGAACAUGCUAAUGUGUGUAAUCUCAAAGCCUGACAAGGAGAUGAGGAAGGAAGGGGAUAUAGUAGACUGUCAAAAUGCAAGUGUUAAUAAUGUUCACUAAAUGAAGAGCAGGAGGGAAUGACAAAGAAUAUUCAUUCACUAUUUGGAUUCAUUAAAAACAUUGAAUUUCUACAACCUGUUACUAAUCAUUCUUAAAUGGUUCUUCUACAUUUCAUUAGUAACACAACACCGCUUAACGUUUUACUGACUAAAAACUGGUAUUUGAAUAAAUUAGGCUCUGGCCACGAUCUUGUAUCUUUUCACACAAGACAAUACUUGGGCCAAAAUAGAGAUUUGGGGGACGGAUAAAAUAUUGUCUGAUCCUAAUAUUUUUGUAAAAUCAGAACAAAUUGAUUGUAAUAAUUUUACAUCCACUCUAAAAAUAAAGUAACUACCAAAUUCACUUGUGACAAAAGGAGGAAACAUUGGAUGUGAUAUAUACAAUAAUGUCAGAUAAGCAAAACAGUUAACAAAUUGUGUUCCUCAUGAGGUUUUCUUUGUUGUUCUCUUGUUAAAUGUUUAAACACUUGCCUCUAUCUAAACAUUUGUUUCUCAUUAUAGUACUCACACAAAAAGUUAUUCCUUCUGAUGCCCCCUAAGGACAGGUGUAGCAGAAAUGCUAAGUCACAGCCUAAAACAGUGAUUGAGCACCUGGUGGGAAGGCAGGGCCAACCCACCCCUUCUCAGACCUCAUAUAAGGGCUGGCAGUGGAGGUAAGGGUAUCCUUCUGGAGAUCCCUGCCUACAGGAUGUCUCUCAAAGGUAAACAAUUUUUCUUCCUUUGUUUCUGUGUCCCCAGCUGCUGCACUUGGGCUUGUUCUCAUUUGCUGCAGCCUAGGAUUGUGUUGCUUUGCUUCUAUCACUAUAUUUUCUAUCGUAUUAUAGCAUUACGAUUGGUGACUCAGGGAGAUACUUAUUUAUGAUGAUUGCCUUAAAAAUAUGUGUAUUGGUUAGUCACUGGGACCCCAAAUACACUGAAAGAGGAACUCCUGGGGGAAACCUCAGGAUUUCUAGGGUACCUGUGGCUAAGUGCCACACAUGUUAUUGAAGAACAGGGACCUAUCAGGGACAAUGGUCCCAUUAUUAAAUCGUCUUCAAAAAUGACAAACUUCUUGAAUAAAUUAAAACAAUUUUUUUGACAUCUGAGGAAAGAGUAGUGACAGCAUCCGCUAUGGCAUAGCUGCUGCUACUCACUAUUAACAUACAUCCUUCCUCAGAGGAAGAAUUGAAGGGUGAAAACGAGCCUUUAAAAGUUCCUAUUAGGCAGCUGAAGAGUAAAAUCGUAUCUUUGACAGGCCAAACUGCCUCCCCUUCAAAUGAAACUUCUCCUUUGAAAUUAAGACCCAUAUCAUUUGAAGGGGAGUAGAACUUGGAUCAGGAGGAUCCUUGGAUCCUACUUGAAUCACUAUCCUAUUUGAUACAGUACCUAGUAGUAUCCUAUCUGAAUCAGUACCACUAUAUUGAUGAUCUCACUUUCACAUCUGACUUGCUGGAGGCAUUAGAAAAUGCAGUAGAUUCAUUAACCUACUCAGUUAAAAGAGAAAGGAUGGGCUAUAAACCCACAAAACGUGCAAGAGUCGGGGGUUAAAUUCCUGGGCGUAGUUUGGCCAGGAAAGACCGAAGUACUACCCAGUGCAAUAAUAGAAAAGGCUCAGGCAUUCCUAGUCCCUACCAUGCCAAGACAGCUGCAAGAAUUUUUGAGUAUAUUGGGAUACUGGUGUUCCUUUAUACCCUACUUAAUUCUGCUGAGGCCUCUGUAUUGACUCACAAAGAAAGCCCAAAAAUGGGACUAGAGGAGAAUGGAACAAGAGGCCUUCCAGCAAGCAAAACAAAUCAUUGGCUCGUGCUGUGAAGGGAGGAGUGUAGCAGAAAUGAUAAGUCACAGCCUGAAUCAGUGAUUGAUCAUCUGGUGGGAAGGUAGAGCCAACCCAGGGGAGCUCAGGUGCAUGCAUUGCACCUGCGUGAAUGGAAGGGGUGGAGCCAGGAGCCACCCCUUCCCAGACCUCAUUUAAGGGCUGGCAGUGGAGGUGAGGGUAUCUUUUUGGAGAUCCCUGCCUACCAGAGGCCCUUCAAAGGUAAGCACGUUUUCUUCCUUUGUUUCUGUGUUCCCAGCUACUGUACUUGGGCUUGUUCUCGUUUGCUGCAGCCUAGGAUUGCGUCACCUUGCUACUAUUGCUAUACUUUCCAUCAUGUUAUAGCAUUACAACAGGUUCAUCAGAAUUAUCUAUGUGAAUUGUAUUUCAGUUGGUUUUGCAACUUUCAGAGGAAGCGUUCAAACAAAUAGCUCACGAUGGGAUUCAAAAUAAUAUAAUGUGAACUGUCUAAAACCUAGAGAUCUAGCCUGCAUCAGUUAUCUAUAUUCUCAAGCACAAGUCUUCCCACCAGUAGAAGUAGCCAAGAUCCUGGAGAUAUUGUGGACUUUUCUUUGACCUCUCAGUGAAUUCAAUAAAAGAGAGGAUUUCUGACUGAUAUUUUUGACCAGUUGCACCUCUAACCAUGGGCAAGAUGGAAAGAUCCUGAUCCCAGUAUUGUCAUCUCCCUCCUCACCUUAUGACUUCAGCAGAGAUGGAGUAGAAUGGGUAUCUGAGGAGAAAAGAAAAUACUUUAAUCUCUCAGAGACUUCGGGAUGACCUCCAUCACCUCCUCCUUUGCUUCGUUCACAAGCAGCCUCUUCAACACCGAAGUGCCCCUUUGCCUAAAGAGCAGUUUCUCAUGACAGUGAGAACAGAACACGUGGACCCCAAAACUCUGUACCCUGACCUGGUGGGGAAACUACCCUGUUUAGCAUUCCAGCUGUUCAGAAGUCUCCAGCAAUGCUUUUCUACCAGCCACAAAGAUCACACAAUAAAAUAUCAUCACAGUCAAUCACAGCUCAUCACUAACAUUCACUUUCUUGAUUAUUUUCAAAGGAAAACAAUUAACAGAUUCAACUAAUAGAGAUAAAAACAGUAAUAUUAUUAAAAGGGAAAGCCAGAAGAGUCAGAGGGCAGUUAUCACUGACAAAAUUACACUAAUCUGUUUUCCUUAACUUUCAUUUUUUUAAACUGUCUAUUCUUUCUGAUUACUUUCUAGUCUUAAACUGGAAAGGUUUCUUUCACUCAAAAAAUUGAAUUCCUUUCUGUAAAAUAAUUAAAAAGUUCAUUAAAAUUGAGUAAAUGUAGUAAUCAGAUGCACAUGGUUGAAUUUGUAUUGUGGCACAAGGCUAUUAUAAAGUUGUUUUUUUUUCCACUGAAGUCUUGAUUCAGUAAAGCAUUUUGAGCAGAUAUACAAGUCCCUAGUAUGCCUCUUUUUAUUCAGCAGAAUCCUUAAAUAUCUAUUUACAUAUCAACUUAUUGUCUUAAAUUGACCUAAAAUUUAUUUUACCCUUCUUCACAAUGCAAAGCCAAGACAGGUAAUUCACUUCUUCAUAACUGUAAAGCUCAUCUCUAAAUAUAUAAAAUUGAUGCAAGUAAGACAUAAACUUUAAGCCUUUUAUUUGUUGAAAGACAUAGGUCAUGGAAUUUGUGAAGUCAGGCAAAUGCAACAAAUACUUUUGUCAAUAUAAAAGCUGUUGCUGCUUAAGCAGGAAUGCUUUGUUCAGAAAUAAUUGACCAGCCUGAUACAUGGAAAAGCCUCCUAGCUAACAGAAUAGACCAUAAGAUGCAAUUAAUAUGGAAGAUCACAUUUAAAUUAACACAAGUAUAAAUAACGAAAUCUUCAGAGAUUUCUAUAUACAAUUCAAAUUGUUGAGAAAAAAAAAAUGACUCUGCUAGAAAAGCUACUAUUCAGUAGAAUUUUCUGAUGAGACAGUCCUACAAGGUAUUACAGAAUCAUAAAUUAAAUACUUGAAUGAAGUUACAGAUAUAAGAAAUUUGAUAAUCUUGUAAUAUUCUCUACUUUAUGAGACCAAGUGGUCUGGCAAUUUGAAACUGUUGAAACUCAACCAAGAAAAAUCCAUACCUUAAAUAACCAAGCCAUACUGUGCUAAAUUUGUCACUGAAAAAAACAGUUGUACUUUAUAGAAACAAUUUGGAAUAUUGAUCUCUGGCAGGUAGAACACAUCUAAUACUCGUGAUUUAAAAGAAAAAAAAAAAAAACAAGGAGAUGAUAUAUUACUUUUAGAAUUUGCAGAAUCAUUGACAAAGUAACUUUUAGUGUAUCAUGUAAGGAUACAGUUACUAAUUAUCAAAGAAAUCCCUUUCAUUCUGAGGGAACAGGAAAACAUCACUGGAUUCUCCCAGUUAAAUUUGCCAAAGUUGUUCACCUGCUGAUUUUUUAAGUCAUGUACAGAAAUAGCUCAUUUUUCUUACAAUAAACUCCAAAGUGAUGUAACUGUUUAUAGCCUCCCAGUUACACAUCAGUGUACCACUACACCAACACAAACCUUGAGUGUUUGCAUGCAUUCUCUUCACUUUCUAUUAGUUGGCCUUGAUGUUCAAAAGUAAGGCUGAAAUCUUAAUUCAUCCUCUUGUUAAGAAAGACAUGUCAAUCUUAAAACUCACAACAAUGUUUUUUUCAAAACAUGCAUAAAUACAAUAUAUUUUCUCAAAAAUCCUGCUUCAUUUUGUAUACUAGAUGUAAUCAUCUUCUGGGAAAUGUUUUCUGACUCUGACGAACGACUGUGAAAAGAAUGUAAAUUGAACUCAAAGUAUACUGCAAAGUAUGUUAAGUCACAUAGAAAGAGCUUACUGACCCAGAAGCUUUGGAGCUCAAUUCAUGGGUGAACUAUGAGUUCAUGGAUACUAAGACCAUAGAAGUGAGAAAAUGUCACAUUGAGAAACCAAACCACUCACUACUGGAUAUCUUAAAACCUGUCCAUGAAGACUUUGUAUCCUUGGAAUAAUUUUCAAACUCUCUCAAGAAGAAGGUAAUUAAACCUGGUUUUCCAAUAGAUUGAGGUACAAAGCUCCAUCAUAAAACAAUAUAAAUGUCUCUGAAAUCUAGAGUUUCGCUUUCUAGUCUUGAAAAGACAGCAUUAAAUUUCAUAUUAUGCAUGUUUGACAUGUUUAAUGUCUUUUUACAUAAACCUAGAAGCCUUUCUUUUUGUCCUUGCUUCAUUGUAGGUUUUGUCCUUUCUUCCUUAAUUGUAGAUUGUGAGUCAUGUUCUUGUCUGAUGUACAAACAUGGAAAUAAAUACCCAAGGGCAGAAUUUGUCAUAAUAUCAAUUUAAUUAAAAUAUCCAAUUAACACACACUUUUGGUAGAAGACUUUUAUAGAUUCUGACAUGGAAAGAUAUAUUUAACAUUUUGCUGCAAAAAUUAAAAGCAGCACUAUUGGCUCUUCUCCAAUUUGUACAAAUGAGACUUCAGCACUGAAUGUAGUGAAAGGUAGAUAAGUUUUAGAAGAGCACUGACUUUUCAACAAAACUUAUUUUACAAAAGUCAAUCCUGAUUUAGUCAGCAUAGGCUCUAGGCAUAUAAUUACGCAUCUCUUUUUACAGAAUUUGAGUUACACAGAAGCAACGCACUGCAAACAGACUGAAAAUUCAGUGUUAAUAAAUUGCAGUUUUGUUUAGAAUUCACAUUUCUUACAAAUUAUACUGCAUCUGUUAAUAUAUUGAGAUGCGUCAGAAAUCUGUUAGAUUUCCUAACCAAUAUGUAGAAUAUCACCACUACCACCACACAUUUUGACUGAGAAAGCAGAUACCCACAACAGUAGGUGUACUUCACUCUUACUGUAAGUAGGUGCUUUAAGUUCAGUGAAGCUGAUGGGGCUUAAGCAAACAAGACUAAACAACUCUGCUUACAAACUUUCUUCUUAAAAAUUUGAGGCAGGACAAAAAGCAGCAGGAAUACACACCUUGACCAGAUGGAACAUCAAAUAUUCACAUGCAAAGUGGUGUGGAUGUCCAUUUUGAACAACAAUAACAAAAAAAAAAAAAAAAAAUCAAAGUCUUUAGGAAGUCACUGGAUAUGACAGAUGUUUGGCUGUUAUGGAAAAUAAAAUCUUAUUAGAGUGAUUAAAUACAUCUGUUGGUGGCUGGUUUUAUUGAAAGUGCCUGCCUUGGAAUCAAUGAAGGUUAUUUUGCUACAGUCUGUAUUUGAUAUAACCAAGUUAUUCAGAUUUGUUUAUCCAAAAUUGUCUUGCAAUUUUCCUGGCCAUAACAUGGCUUAAUGAAAAUAACCUGUUCCAUCAAAUACUAACUAAGAAGUAAUUAACAUUUGAAAGAGACACCCUCUUACCCCACCCCCCACCACCAAAGGAAAAAAAAAAA